AGGGCACCACCAGGAGUGGAGCCUGCGGCUUAAUUUGACUCAACACGGGAAAACUCACCCGGCCCGGACACUGGAAGGAUUGACAGAUUGAGAGCUCUUUCUUGAUUCGGUGGGUGGUGGUGCAUGGCCGUUCUUAGUUGGUGGAGCGAUUUGUCUGGUUAAUUCCGAUAACGAACGAGACUCUAGCCUAUUAAAUAGGGCACCAAUUUAAUGGCUUCGGAGGUACUUCCUAAAGGGAACUGCGGGAAAUCAGCCGCACGAAAUUGAGCAAUAACAGGUCUGUGAUGCCCUUGGAUGUCUGGGGCUGCACGCGCGCUACACUGAAGUGAAUCAGCGUGCAUUACAGACCUGCAUCCGUCAGGAGUGGGGGAACCCCGUGAAACCUCCUUGGGGUUGGGAAUAGGGAUUGGUAUUUUUUUCCUUGGAAGAAGAAAUCCCAGGAAGGUGGAGUCCAUAAGUUCCGGUGGAUAACUCCCCUGCCCUUGGACCCCACCGCCGUCCCUUCUAACGGACUAAACA
rnacentral:rRNA from 1 species